rnacentral:rRNA from 1 species
GAGCUUGCUCAAAGAUGGUGAGAGUGGCGCACGGGUGCGUAACGCGUGAGCAACCUACCUCUAUCAGGGGGAUAGCCUCUCGAAAGAGAGAUUAACACCGCAUAACAUCAACAGUUCGCAUGUUCAGUUGAUUAAAUAUUUAUAGGAUAGAGAUGGGCUCGCGUGACAUUAGCUAGUUGGUAGGGUAACGGCUUACCAAGGCGACGAUGUCUAGGGGCUCUGAGAGGAGAAUCCCCCACACUGGUACUGAGACACGGACCAGACUCCUACGGGAGGCAGCAGUAAGGAAUAUUGGUCAAUGGGCGGAAGCCUGAACCAGCCAUGCCGCGUGCAGGAUGACUGCCCUAUGGGUUGUAAACUGCUUUUGUCCAGGAAUAAACCCAGAUACGUGUAUCUGGCUGAAUGUACUGGAAGAAUAAGGAUCGGCUAACUCCGUGCCAGCAGCCGCGGUAAUACGGAGGAUCCGAGCGUUAUCCGGAUUUAUUGGGUUUAAAGGGUGCGUAGGCGGCCAAUUAAGUCAGGGGUGAAAUACGGUGGCUCAACCAUCGCAGUGCCUUUGAUACUGAUUGGCUUGAAUCCAUUUGAAGUGGGCGGAAUAAGACAAGUAGCGGUGAAAUGCAUAGAUAUGUCUUAGAACUCCGAUUGCGAAGGCAGCUCACUAAGCUGGUAUUGACGCUGAUGCACGAAAGCGUGGGGAUCGAACAGGAUUAGAUACCCUGGUAGUCCACGCCCUAAACGAUGAUAACUCGAUGUUGGCGAUAGACAGCCAGCGUCCCAGCGAAAGCGUUAAGUUAUCCACCUGGGGAGUACGCCCGCAAGGGUGAAACUCAAAGGAAUUGACGGGGGCCCGCACAAGCGGAGGAGCAUGUGGUUUAAUUCGAUGAUACGCGAGGAACCUU